GACGAACGCUGGCGGCGUGCUUAACACAUGCAAGUCGAACGGAAAGGCCCCUUUGGGGGUACUCUAGUGGCGAACGCGUGAGUAACACUUGAGUAACCUUCCCUUGACUUCGGGAUAACUUCAGGAAACUGGGGCUAAUACCGGAUAGGAAUCCUUGCUGCAUGGUGGGGGUUGGAAAGCUUCGGCGGUUUUGGAUGGACUCGCGGCGUAUCAGCUUGUUGGUGGGGUAGUGGCUUACCAAGGCUUUUACGGGUAGCCGGCCUGAGAGGGCGACCGGCCACAUUGGGACUGAGAGAAGGCCGAGACUCCUACGGGAGGAAGAAGUGGGGAAGAUUGAACAAUGGGCGGAAGCCUGAUGCAGCAACGCCUCGUGCGGGAUGACGGCCUUCGGGUUGUAAAACGCUUUCAGCAGGGGCGAAGCUUGUGGUGACGGUACCUGCAGAAGAAGCACCGGCUAACUACGUG
rnacentral:rRNA from 1 species